AACGAACGCUGGCGGCAUGCCUAACACAUGCAAGUCGAACGAGACCUUCGGGUCUAGUGGCGCACGGGUGCGUAACGCGUGGGAACCUGCCCUUAGGUUCGGAAUAACUCCCCGAAAGGGGUGCUAAUACCGGAUAAUGUCUUCGGACCAAAGAUUUAUCGCCUUUGGAUGGGCCCGCGUUGGAUUAGCUAGUUGGUAGGGUAAAAGCCUACCAAGGCGACGAUCCAUAGCUGGUCUGAGAGGAUGAUCAGCCACACUGGGACUGAGACACGGCCCAGACUCCUUCGGGAAGGAGGAAUGGGGGAUGAUGGAAAAUGGGCGAAAGCCUGAUCCAGCAAUGCCGCGUGAGUGAUGAAGGCCUUAGGGUUGUAAAGCUCUUUUACCCGGGAUGAUAAUGACAGUACCGGGAGAAUAAGCUCCGGCUAACUCCGUG
rnacentral:rRNA from 1 species